rnacentral:rRNA from 1 species
CCUACGGGAGGCAGCAGUGAGGAAUAUUGGUCAAUGGACGAGAGUCUGAACCAGCCAAGUAGCGUGAAGGAUGACUGCCCUAUGGGUUGUAAACUUCUUUUAUAUGGGAAUAAAACGUUCCACGUGUGGGAUUUUGUAUGUACCAUAUGAAUAAGGAUCGGCUAACUCCGUGCCAGCAGCCGCGGUAAUACGGAGGAUCCGAGCGUUAUCCGGAUUUAUUGGGUUUAAAGGGGGCGUAGGUGGAUUGUUAAGUCAGUUGUGAAAGUUUGCGGCUCAACCGUAAAAUUGCAGUUGAAACUGGCAGUCUUGAGUAGAGUAGAGGUGGGCGGAAUUCGUGGUGUAGCGGUGAAAUGCUUAGAUAUCACGAAGAACUCCGAUUGCGAAGGCAGUUCACUGGACUGCAACUGACACUGAGGCUCGAAAGUGUGGGUAUCAAACAGGAUUAGAUACCCGAGUAGUC